rnacentral:lncRNA from 1 species
CAUUUUCUGGACAUGUAUAUUACAAAGAAGACUAAUUCUUUCUCUAUUUCCAUCUUUAGAAAACCCAUCAACAGCAUUCCAAAGAUGCAACUAUGUACAAGGACACUGGCAUCUCCACACUCAUUUGGUGGGCUUACAAACUUUGUAUGGAGGAGGCGGAUGUAAUAAACAAGCAUAAGAUUUUCAAAGAGGCAUUUUUAAUUCAUGGAUACCCUGGCGAUAAAUUUGACAGCUUAGUCCACAAGAUCCACAUCAAGCAUCUUAAAAUGAGCAAUGCAUUGCACGCCCCUAUUGACGUCACCACACUCUACCAGGAAGU